rnacentral:rRNA from 1 species
AGUGAACGCUGGCGGUAGGCCUAACACAUGCAAGUCGAACGGCAGCACAGUAAGAGCUUGCUCUUACGGGUGGCGAGUGGCGGACGGGUGAGGAAUACAUCGGAAUCUACUUUUUCGUGGGGGAUAACGUAGGGAAACUUACGCUAAUACCGCAUACGACCUACGGGUGAAAGCAGGGGAUCUUCGGACCUUGCGCGAGUGAAUGAGCCGAUGUCGGAUUAGCUAGUUGGCGGGGUAAAGGCCCACCAAGGCGACGAUCGGUAGCUGGUCUGAGAGGAUGACCGGCCAAAUUGGGACUGAGGUACGGCCCAGACUCCUACGGGAGGCAGCAGUGGGGAAUAUUGCACAAUGGGCGGAAGAAUGAUGCAGCAAAGCCGCGUGAGGGAUGACGGCCUUCGGGUUGUAAACCGCGUUCGCCUGUGACGAAGCGUGAGUGACGGUAAUGGGUAAAGAAGCACCGGCUAACUACGUG